GGGGCUUCCAACUGUCCCCACGUCUGUCCCCAUGGACCAGGGGGCUACAGAUCACUGGUAGGUGGGGCUCAGCCAGUGAUCAUUUGAACUCUUCCUGUUCUAGCUCCCGCUUGGAGGACACACUAGUAUCCCUUCUAUUCCCAGGUCCUUUUCAACGUCCGUGUCUUCUGCGGCAUGAACUCAACAUUCCAGCUCACAGACGGCGUGUGCAUAACAGAAUUCUGCAGGAAGAACCCCAGCAGCGAAGGAUAUAGAGCUCCACAGAGGCUGUAUGCCAUGCUUCAAAACACUCCACAUAAAAGCUUCAGAAAGGAGAAGAGAACAACAACAACAACAACAACAAAAAACAGAUUUCUGGACAAUCCAGUCCGUACAAAAUACCUAGGACAAUUCCUGGCACCAAAAACGCGUUCACUAGAUUGUGACCGUCCAGGAAAUGGAAGAUUCUGACAGAGGAGUGAACU
rnacentral:lncRNA from 1 species